GGAACGACAAUGAAAAAGAAGUACAUUCAUAUCCCCACAAAUUUUUAAAGGAAGUAAAGAUACCAACUCAGUUUGUCUAAGGAAAGGGUCCAGAUGACAGCUAAUGUACCACAUGACAGCUAAAGGACCAAAUGACAGCUAAAGUACCACAUGACAGAAUCUUUUUCAAAUUAGACUUAGGUUGUAGACCAUAAACUACAAGUGGAAUGUGAUUUUGAAGAUUUGACAUUUAUUGAUCAAGAGUUACCCAGUAGAUCAUUCCUCGAUAGUUUAUCGUUGUGGCAAAAGUGCAAAAUGAUGUCAAUACACCGUUAUUUUGUGGACUCCCAAGGCACAUCCUGACAACCAUCCACAGAACGUUGUUGCAAGGAGAGGUAUAUCAGUAAUCCUGUCCCCCUGGAGCAAAGAUCAAGGAAUAUUUCACCAG